CUGACAUCAAGUUCCCUCUCUCUCAAGGGUUUAAUCUAUAAAAAAAAAACAAGAAGUGGUUUCACCAACCUAGCGUCUUUUUCAGCUCUCAGCAUUCCAGUGUUUUUUGGCAGCCUGCUGCUUCCCUUUCUACACUCCCAGUGCUCCAAGGCAGCCUUGACUGCUUUCCUUUUGCACUCCCAGUGCUCCAAGCCAGCCUUGACUGCUUCCCUUUUGCAUUCCCAGUGCUUAGUCUCCUUGACUCUCUUACUGGAGAGACUCUCUUACCUGCUUCCAGGGAGGAAGCCAGCAAUCCCUCCUUUACCUGCAUAGCAGGGAGGGGUUUAUUCCCACUGCUGCAGCUGAGCAGUGGGUUGGAGACAGUCCAAAAAACCCUGGCCUGGAUCUAUGUCUCCCAAGAAAACC